rnacentral:rRNA from 1 species
GACCUGGCCGGGCGGUCCGCUUUUCGGCGUGUUACUGUCUGGCCGGGCCUUACCUCUUGGUGAGCCUGCAUGCCCUUUACUGGACGUGUAGGAGAACCAGGACCUUUACCUUGAGAAAAUUAGAGUGUUCAAAGCAGGCAUACGCCCGAAUACAUUAGCAUGGAAUAAUAAAAUAGGACG